UUUAGGGUUGGGUUACACGAUGUGGGAUGGGCAAUUCUCACACUCCAGUCGUUCACACACUACCGUCUCGCACGGUUGCGUCCUCCUCGCCGUCAUCAACGCCGUUGAUUGCUGCCGUCUUCACGGUCUGCCUACGCCAGAGGUGUCAUCGGCGAACUAGCUAUUCUGUCCCCGCGUCGAUGUCCAGUUCGCCGCCGCCGGAAGAUCGCCGUCGUUCUGCUCAGGCCCUGCAGCCGGUUCGUGGUCUAACUGUGGUGAUUUUUUAACAUCUUUGUAAUUAUUUUGGUAUUUAUGGAUGUAAUUGAGCUCUAAAUAAUGGAUUACUGUAGUGUAUUAAGUUAAAUUCAGAAUAUAUAUUAGUGAAAUGCAAGUGAUGUAUGCACAAUUGCUGAUAUACUGCCCUCGUGCAACCGGAGGUAAUACACUAUGAUGUGCAAUGUCCACUGAUUUGUUGUGCUUAGGGGGUUAUAAUUAUGACGCAUCAAUUUUAUUCAUAUUUAUUAUUGUAUUAUUGGAGGUCUAACUAUGGGAUUUUUUAA